GAUAACGACUUAGGUAUUUAUUUUAUAUUGACAAGACAUGUAUUAAUAAACAAAGUGGUAAAACGAAACAUGUAAAAUGAAGUUAGCGUAUCCGUUUAAGGAAGUGCACCAUAAUAAACUUCCGCGUUAUUUUUUUUAUGUCGGCUUAUGUUGGUAUUUACCGUACCGUGUAGUCGAUCGUAAACGGCUACAUUCGGAGCAGCCUGGCUUACUUCGUGUUAAUAUUAUGUCGGAGUUUUUUAAUUGGAAAUUCAAUUUUUUUCAAGAUAAAUGGUUCACUUGGAGCAUAUUAUAUCGCUGGAUGUUUAAAGCCACACACCUUGAAAUGAAAGUGUGUGGCUUUAAGCAGUGGAGAAAUCACACUUGAACACGAAAUAUGAGGGAAACACGAAGAUUAUGAGCAAUACUUUUUGAACUGAGUUAAAGCUGCAGUAAAUAUCAACUGAAUGAAACGGAUGAUUUCUCAAAAACGAUGAAAACGAGCUAAAUACAUAGUCAAAACUGAACCUAUAUUAGGUGCCAAUUAAUGUGUUAUACUUAAACAAACGUGGUAUAAUGUUUGUGCGUCAGCAACGUGUCUUUCUAUUCAAAUUAUAAUGAUGGUGAAUAAUCCUAAAAGUCAAAUCGAGCGUCAUUUAAAUAAGGUGAGUUUAAUUUAAGAGAAUGAUAAGUAAUAAGGGAAAUCGAAUUAAAUGCAAACAUUUCUUAAUAAUUGCAACUACUUCUUUAUAUUCAAAAUAACAGAAUUUGCGUGCAUAAUAAUAAAGAUUUACAUAUUUAAACACGUU